rnacentral:rRNA from 1 species
UGGGGAAUAUUGGACAAUGGGCGCAAGCCUGAUCCAGCCAUGCCGCGUGAGUGAUGAAGGCCCUAGGGUUGUAAAGCUCUUUCACCGGUGAAGAUAAUGACGGUAACCGGAGAAGAAGCCCCGGCUAACUUCGUGCCAGCAGCCGCGGUAAUACGAAGGGGGCUAGCGUUGUUCGGAUUUACUGGGCGUAAAGCGCACGUAGGCGGACGAUUAAGUCAGGGGUGAAAUCCCGGGGCUCAACCCCGGAACUGCCUUUGAUACUGGUAGUCUUGAGUUCGAGAGAGGUGAGUGAAAUUCCGAGUGAAGAGGUGAAAUUCGUAGAUAUUCGGAGGAACACCAGUGCCGAAGGCGGCUAACGGGCUCGAUACUGACGCGGAGGUGCGAAAGCGUGGGGAGCAAACAGG